GAUUACUGGUGGCCAGCGGAGAGACAGAUUAUACGGCUCUACACAACUGUCGUUUUAAUCCCCCGAGCGAGGAGAUUUAGCAGGAAAAAACACUGGCUUUAAACCCAGCAGCCAUAUUGUAUGGAAAAACGACGGAAAGAGUCCCGUUUCAGAAAAAAGUCGACUUCUCAGACUCCUCUGUCAGGACUCUUGGGGAGUUUAAUUUUCUCUCUUGCUGGCGGGGGGUUUGUGCUGCACAGCUAGCUUGCCAGCUGGCUGACAGAUUCUGAGGUUGGGGCUAGUUUUUCAGUCAUUUCACACAAUAUUGUAGUUAUUUCUUUGGCUAUAAAGUGUGAUAUUGAACGGGUGGAACGAUGAAGGACCGAUUGGAGCAACUUAAAGCGACGUGUGAUCAAGAUGAUGACGAGGUGGAGAUCGCUGUGGACAAUGCAGCCUUCAUGGACGAGUUCUUCUCUCAGAUUGAGGACAUCAGGAACAGUAUUGAUAAAAUUGAUGAGAACGUGGCUGAAGUCAAAAAGCUUUACUCGGUCAUCCUGUCUGCUCCCACAUCAGAUCAGAAAACACAGGAUGACUUAGAGGCAAUCACCAAUGACAUCAAGAAGAUGGCCAACAAUGCGAGAAACAAACUCAAGACCAUCGAGAGAAACCUGGAGUCAGAGGAGCAGGAGAGGGUGUCGGCUGACAUGCGGAUACGUAAAUCACAGCAUGCAGUGCUUUCCAGGAAGUUUGUGGAGGUAAUGACAAAGUAUAAUGAAGCUCAGGUGGACUUCCGGGAGAGAAGUAAAGGACGUAUUCAGAGACAGCUAGAGAUCACUGGAAAAGCUACGACGGAUGAAGAACUGGAGGAGAUGCUGGAGAGUGGAAAUGCUGCUGUGUUUACUGCAGGGAUUGUGGACUCUGGCAUCUCGAAACAAGCCCUGAGUGAGAUUGAAUCCAGACACAAAGACAUUGUCCGUCUGGAAAGUAGCAUCAAGGAGCUGCACGAUAUGUUUGUAGACAUCGCCAUGCUGGUGGAGAGCCAGGGUGACAUAGUAGACAACAUAGAGCAGAAUGUAUCCAAUUCAGUGGACCACAUAGUAGAAGCUAAGGAACAGACCAAAAAAGCUGUAAGGUACCAGACCAAAGCACGCAAGAAAAUGGUGAUAAUUGCAGUGGUUGUGGCGAUCUUACUGGCCAUACUAGCUCUCAUUAUCGGGCUCUCAGUGGGAUUGAGGUGAAGCUGAUGAGUUAUUACAGUGUAAGGAGAGCUAAGGGUGAGUAACUGGAGCAAAUACCUGCUGUAGCCACAAUGGGUGUUGGUAUGAGGCAUGCUUUGGAUAAGAGUUUGCGCUUCCCUUCAGGCUGAGUGUGUGUAUUUUCUUUCUAUCCAGGGAGCUUAUAUGAGGUGUGUUUGUGUGUAUUUGAGGUUCUUGGGUGUGUGUUUUUUUUCUGCAACACUUGCCUCUGGUUACUGCUGAACAAACAGAGCUAGCGAAGAUGAUCAUUAUUGGUGGAGUCUGUGCUGUGGUUGUUGUCAUCCUCCUCCUCGUCGUCUUCCUCACCCAUACAGUAUAGAACUCAUCUGUGUGUUCAUCAUCAUGUUCUCCAUCAGCUGGCCCACAAAAGAAAACACAGAUAUUGAUCACUCCAUAUGGAUUUUAUAAUAUUAAAUCUCCAGAUGUACCGCCUAUUCUUUUAAAGAAACUGAAGGUCUGGUUUGACCUCUUGAAAGAAGAAGAAGGAGGUCAGUUUGACUCCCUGAGGUUUGGACAAUUUGAGGAUGCUCUGCUGCAAAUGAGGAACUGAAGCUGACAUAAGGUACAAGACCUGUAUCUCUGUGGAGGCAAAAAGGGAACUGAAAAAUCGUAACAUUUCGUUGUUCAACAUUUGGAGCCAAUGAAUCAGUUGGAAAGUGUUUGUCGUCUGUAGUUUUAACUCCUGGGGAAGUCAGACACUUGUUGAAGCACAUUACCUCCAUAAUCAUUAAUCCUCACCAUUAUGAGCCUUGACACAUUUUAUGAUCGCCACUGAAUGUUCACUGCUGUGAGAUUUUGUUGGUUUUAGGGAUUUCCAGCACUUUCACAUUUCAGAAUCCACAAUGAAGCUCAAAUUUCUGGAAUUUUCGUGUAAAAAUAGAAUUACUGUUGUUGAUAUGUAGCCCUGAAUGUGGCUCGGAUCUUUUAUCUUGAAGAGGACUGGUGUGUACUCUCUUAUGAUUCUUCAGGUUAAUUAUUUAGUCACAAUUUAGUGUUUUUUCAUUUUAAAAUGUGAAGGAUGGUGCUUAUGGGAACACAUUUCAUGAACUCGCAAAGAAAGCAAGACAGGCCAGUGGUAUCAAUACACAGCUACAUUUCCCUCACUGAUAUACAAAAUAUUUGAAAUUAGAACUGUGAAACAGUGUACAAUUUAACAGCACCACAAAGUACACCCUCCAAAAAGACAAUGAAAUUUAACUUGGUCACAUUUACAGCAGUUUCAGUAAAAACUGAGCAUUUUAUUAUAAUAAUAUGCCUUAUUAAUAUGUAAACUAUCUUCAUGUACAUCCAAAACUGUUUAAUUUGUAAAUUUUUUCAACUUUUAUUCAUAUUUUCAGAAAGCAAAGUGCUGAAAAUAUUUGUAUCGCUUUUGUCUAUUCCUAACACAAUCUGAUAUAUUGUAUAAUAUGAAUGUACAAGAAUGUUGUCAGUAAAGAAAACAGGCAGAUGAAGAUGGGAUUUAUUGCAGGGCUGUUGUAUUAGACCACGUUAAUCUUGGCAGAGUGAACCUGAUAUACUGACAGCUCAGUUCAGUUGUGGUUAGUUAUCAUUUCAUCGGGCUGUUCUUUCUUGUUGAGGGAAUGUGGAGAGUGUACUGAAUGACAGUGGAAAUGGUUUCACUCAGUGGCUUUAACGUGGUAAUUAAAGCAGGUGAUUCCAGCUGUGCAUGUGAGGAUCAGAUCAGAGAUCACAUUUCAACAAAUCAUCAAGAGGCUUUUUAUCCGACUGAGGGCCUUUAAUGUGACGACUUUGUGUCUUUUAGACCAGAGCCUGAAUGUUUCCUUGAAGUCUGGUUGUGUGGGGCCACUUUUGAGAGUAUGAGGCCCCCUCAGGGUCUUUUAGCUGAGUUUGAGCCACCAACACAGGCUGCAAAAAGAGAAGGAGAAAACUAAAGUUGUACACUGUUUUAAGUUAAGUGCCAAUGAUUUUAAAAGAAAUUAAAGAUUUUAUGUUUUUUAAGGA